rnacentral:lncRNA from 9 species
GGCAUAUGGAAGUUCCCAGGCUAGGGGCUGAAUUGGAGCUACAGCUGCCGACCUACACCACAGAUCAGAGCAGUGCCGGAUCCCUAACCCAGUGAGCAAGGCCAGGAAUCGAACCCAAAUCCUCAUGGAUCCUAGUCAGGAUCAUUAACUGCUGAGCCACGAAGGAAACUCUCCUAGCCACAUUUUUAAACAUGGGGGUGUGUUUUAAAAAUCCAAAUUUCUGGUUUUUCUAAAUACCUGUGACUCAGAUUCACUGGGCUGCAUUGGAGCCCAGAAAUCUGCAUCUUUAACAAGCCACACUAAGUGAUUCUAAUGCACAUGGUCUCUUAACAGGCUGGGAGAGAUGACUGAAGGCACUGUAAGAUGCCACGGCUCCUUCUGAAUCAUUGAAGAACCAUGAAGUGACGUGCCUUCAAAUGUAUUUUGAUGCUUGGAAAGCCGGUAACUCCGUGUGAGUCACAUGUAAUAGCUCUCUGCAAUCCGCAUACCCAAUAGUACAAAAGUAUUCAAAGCCUGAGCAUGUUGGGCAACAGGUAACUCACCUCUGAGUGUCAGAAACGGGUUCUAGAUUCAAUAUUCCCACUGGGAAACAGAGGCCUAGGAAGACUGGCUUCUUGCCUGGUGUCUGCCUGCCCACCGACCAGACCACAUUUCAGAACAUGUGUUCUCAUCUCUCCUGACAGCCUGCCUCCUCCACAGCAGGAGCCACUGUCCUUCUCUGCAGGGUCAGCUCUGAGACCUCCCCAGGGAAGCCCCCCUACCCUCGGAGAAGCCUCCUGAGUCCUGGCAGCUGGAGAGGAGGGAGCUGGGAUGCUGAGAAGACAGCCGAGGGGUCUGUGAGGCUAUUGCAGAGAGGACAGAGGGGGCAGAGCAAGAACGAGUAUUUGAUGCCUGGGAGGGAUGGACUCCACGAGGCCUUCAGGGUGACUAGAUGGGGGCUGCAGUUCUUCAGAGAAAAUAUCCACUGCACUGCGUUGCCAUCUUCUGUUUGCUGGGCAGUCUCUUGUGUGAGAUUUCAAACUCCUUAAGGCCAAGGUUCUUAGUCAUCUGUGUUGGCGUCAGCUCCAAGCACAGAGCUAAAAAGCAGUGGAGUGAUGGAAUAUUGGCACAGGAAGGAAAUGGAAUGACAGCCCCAUCCAUGGAUCAUAUUGUACCCUUCUCAUUCAGAGUGCAACCACACACUCACUCCAGGGCCUGACAGCAGAAACGUAUAUGUAAUUUACACACACACAUAUACAUUAAUUUAUAAAAGUAUAAAUAGUUUUCAUAACUGAUUGUGGCAACCAAAUUUGAGCCUGCUUAAAAUCUUGUGCUAUUACACACUCUUAAAGACUUUGGGGCUGAUCUAAGGAAUUGUGAAUGAUAAAGCGGCAGUUGGUUAGGAGACAAUAUCUGUAAAACUUUCGGCCUUUUCAUUUAAUUAAAAUCCAAUAUCUGAGUGUGCCCACCCAGAUGUAGGUCAGUCCGAAACUAGAAUGUGAAUAGCUUGUGGCGCUAGACUCCCAUUCAUGUGUGAAAGGAAAACCAAAACGAAUUGCUAUUGCUGAGCAAGCUCUAAAACGGAGCCAGGAGGCCACUGAGGAAGUGUGACUUAGGUACAUCUCAGCCUGGAUGGAAUCUAAUCCUUUGACUUUUGGGGGGGGCACACUCGCAGCAUAUGGAAGUUCCCAGGCUAGGAGUCGAAUUGGAGCUGCCGGCCUACACCACAGCCACGGCAAUGCCAGACCUGAGCCGCAUCUGCGACCUAUACCAUAGUUCACGGCAACGCUGGAUCCUUAACCUGCUGAGCGAGGCCAGGUAUCAAACCCACAUUCUUGUGGAUAAUAGUCGGGCUCAUUACUGCUGAGCCACAACAGGAACUCCCUCCUUUGACUAUUUAUUGUCCUAACAAAGGCAUUCAGAACAUCUGCCUGAAACUCAAGAUCCUGACUGGGGAGUUGUCAUUGUGGCUCAGAGGGUUAAGAACAUGACAUAGUGUCUGUGAGGAUGCAAUUUGGGUUCAAUCCCUGGUCUCACUCAGGGGGUUAAGGAAAUAGUGUUGCCGCAAGCUGCAGCAUAGGUUGCAGCCAUGGCUCAGAUCCUGCAUUGGCUGUGGCCUCAGCUGCAGCUCAGAUGCAGCCCCUAGCCAGGAACUUCCACAUGCCAAUUGCAGCCCGUAAAAAGAAAAGAAAAAAAAAAAA